rnacentral:rRNA from 1 species
UAGAAGAAAGUAAGAAAGGGCACACGGGGGAUGCCUAGGCUCUCAGAGGCGAUGAAGGACGUGAUAAGCUGCGAUAAGCUGCGGGGAUUAGCAAAUAUGAAUUAAUCCGCAGAUUUCCGAAUGGGGAAACCUAACUAUUUGAAGAAUAGUUGCAAAAUGCGCUAACCCGCUGAACUGAAACAUCUAAGUAAGCGGAGGAAGAGAAAACAACAGUGAUUUCCUGAGUAGUGGCGAGCGAAAGGGAAGAAGCCCAAACCAUAUAUGUUACGGCAUAUACGGGGUAGUAGGACCACAACAUGAAUAUUAAAGAGAACCGGAACGGGGUGGGAAACCCGGCCAUAGAGCAUGAGAGCUGCGUACGGGUAAUUGAUAAUAGGAUAGUGGUAUCCUGAGUACCGCGAGGUCGGAGACGCCUUGUGGGAAUUUGCCGGCACCAUCCGGUAAGGCUAAAUACUCCUGAGAGACCGAUAGUGAACCAGUACCGUGAGGGAAAGGUGAAAAGAACCCCGAACAGGGGAGUGAAAUAGAACCUGAAACCGUGU